UACGUAGGGUGCAAGCGUUAAUCGGAAUUACUGGGCGUAAAGCGUGCGCAGGCGGUUUUGUAAGUCUGUCGUGAAAUCCCCGGGCUCAACCUGGGAAUUGCGAUGGAGACUGCAAGGCUAGAAUCUGGCAGAGGGGGGUAGAAUUCCACGUGUAGCAGUGAAAUGCGUAGAGAUGUGGAGGAACACCGAUGGCGAAGGCACUUUACUGGGCUAUUACUAACACUGAGAGACGAAAGCUAGGGUAGCAAACAGG
rnacentral:rRNA from 1 species